GUGUCAGCCGCCGCGGUAAUACGGAGGGUGCGAGCGUUGCUCGGAAUCACUGGGCGUAAAGCGUACGCAGGCGGAUCGUUAAGUCGGGUGUGAAAUCCCGGGGCUCAACCCCGGAACUGCAUUCGAAACUGGCGGUCUUGAGUACGGGAGAGGGAGGCGGAAUUCCUGGUGUAGAGGUGAAAUUCGUAGAUAUCAGGAGGAACACCGGUGGCGAAAGCGGCCUCCUGGCCCGAUACUGACGCUCAUGUACGAGAGCGUGGGGAGCAAACAGGAUUAGAUACCCCCGUAGUCC
rnacentral:rRNA from 1 species